rnacentral:rRNA from 1 species
UACGGAGGAUGCGAGCGUUAUCCGGAUUUAUUGGGUUUAAAGGGUGCGUAGGCGGACUGUCAAGUCAGCGGUAAAAUUGAGUGGCUCAACCUCUUCCCGCCGUUGAAACUGGAGGUCUUGAGUGGAUGAGAAGUACGCGGAAUGCGUGGUGUAGCGGUGAAAUGCAUAGAUAUCACGCAGAACUCCGAUUGCGAAGGCAGCGUACCGGCAUCCAACUGACGCUGAGGCACGAAAGCGUGGGGAUCAAACAGG